ensembl:lncRNA
GUUUUUCCAGUGGUCAUAUAUGGAUAUAAGUAUUGGAUUGUGAAGAAAGCUGAGUGCUGAAGAAUUGAUGCUUUUGAACUGUGGUGUUGGAGAAGACUCUUGAGAGUCCCUUGGACUGCAAGGAGAUCCAACCAGUCCAUCCUAAAGGAGACCAGUCCUGGGUGUUCAUUGGAAGGACUGAUGCUGAGGCUGAAACUCCAAUACUUUGGCCACCUCAUGUGAAGAGUUGACUCAUUGGAAAAGACCCUGAUGCUGGGAGGGAUUGGGGGCAGGAGGAGAAGGGGACGACAGAGGAUGAGGUGGCUGGAUGGCAUCACCGACUCGAUGCACGAGCUCAGCAUAAUUGACUGUUCUUAAGACUGAGUGAUCAAGAAAAAUGAAAAGACAUUAAGUACCAAGGGACAGCACUACGGAUUUUACAGAUACAGGCUCCAUGGUAAGAAUUUCUCUUCCAAUUAAGUACUGCCAAAGAUGGAGAAGCUCUAUACAGUCAGUAAAAACAAGACCAGGAGCUGACUGUGGCUCAGAUCAUGAGCUCCUUAUUGCCAAAUUCAGACUGAAAUUGAAGAAAGUAGGGAAAAACCACUAGACCAUUCAGGUCAUUAAAAUCCAAACUCUAAGUUACAGAGGACAACAGCCCCCUCCAGGGAGCUACAGCCUCAAUGUUAUUAUAUUAUCUACAAUGAAACUGCAUGGUGAAUAUAAGUACCCCACUGCUUUCCACAAGUUUGAAUUAACUGAAAGAAGUUUGAAGAGACUUUUGGCUUUUAUGGAAAAAAAGCUGUUAUCAUCCUAAUGUUAGUCCUGUUUAAAAAGCAAAGUGGUGUAAUGUUAACUUUCAGAAAAGGAGUUAUACUCUGCUUUACCUCAUUUCAGUUUAUGAAAGGUUUCAUAGGAACACACCACUUCCAUAUACUGGGGAAAACCUCUAUUUUUAAAUAUUGUGAAAUAUAAAUUGAUAAGAAGCAACCCAAAGGACGACUACCAGAUGUCACCCAGCUGGCCAGUGUAAUGUUCUGUGUUCCAUAAAUUCCCAAAUCGCAUUUAACUGUCAUCAAUAUUUCUGUGAUGAUAACUGAUUUAGGAUGAGUCUUACUCAUGAGAUAAUAUGAUGAGGAUAGAAAAGUAGGAAAAAUUAAAGCAUUCACGGAUUAAUAAGAAAUUAGUAUUGCUAUCAUAUUCUUUCUCAUUCAAAUACUUUAGAUUAAGAAAUCACCAUUCCUAGCCUUUGUAGAGAAGCCAUGGCUGCCUCCUAUGAGAGGAGAGAAAAGCAAAUGGUAAUCUAAGAGUUCUUACACAUAUUUGCAAUGAGGCCUCAUGUGUUUGACUCUAAAACGCACAAGUUUUGUUAGGAACAAAAUGAGAUAUAAGUAAAAACAGUGAUUUUUAAAAAUAUAUAUUAAAAAGAAUGAAUUUUUCUGACAAUAAUUUUUAGUGUGUGUUGGUAUGUUUUAGUGGAUUUUUAAAAAUUUUAUUUUUAUUUAUUUUUUAACCCCCAAAAUAUGUUGUAUUGGGAUAUAGCCGAUUAAUAAUGUUGUAAAAGUUUCAGGCGAACAGUGAAAGGAUUCUGUUAUACAUAUACAUGUAUCCAUUCUCCCCCCAACCCUCCUCACAUCCAAUCUGGUACAUGAUAUUGAGCAGAGUUCCAUGUGCUGUACAAUAGGUCUUUGUUAUUCAUUUUAAAUAUAGCAGUGUAUACUGACAUUCCCAAAGUCCCUAACUAUCCCUUCCCCCUGGCAACCAUUUCGUUUUCUAAGUCUGUGAGUCUUUCUGUUUUGUAUGUAUGUUCAUUUGUAUCAUUUCUUUUUAGAUUCCACAUAUAAGGGAUGUCAUACGAUAUUUCUCCUUCUCUGACUUAAUUCUAGUACAGUUAAAAUGGAAAAAGAUCAGAGGGUAGCUACUUCUGCCAUGGAUUAGUAAAUCAAGAGGUAAUUAAAUCUAACAGUAUAAAAAUAUUUUAUCCACUGCUGUAAAUAAGUAGGAAGCUAAAAAUAAAAAAUGGCAAACAAUUCUUUUCAGACACUGAAUAGCAGGCUGUACAAGAUUGGUGGUGGUGGUGGGUCAGUCAUGUCCCUGUAAGUCAUGUCCGACUCUGCGACGCUGUGGACUGUAGCCCGCCAGGGUCCUCUGUCCAUGGGAUUCUCCAGACAAGAAUCCGGGAGUGGGUUGCCAUUUCCUCCUCCAGGGGAUCUUCCCAACCCAGGGACUGAACCCACAUCUCCUGUGUCUCCUCUUUGCCAGCACAUUCUUUACUGUUGAGCCACCAGAGAAGCCCACAAGAUUGCUAUCCUUUAGAAAAGGCAAACAAAUAAAGCAAGGCCCAGGAUAAGGCUUUCUACCUGGGCAGUUUCUGAAACUGCAGUGCAAGGGAAACUCAGAGUCUGGCAGUCUUGCUGUAUAGACGAGAUAGAUGUCAAAGUUACUGAAGGGACUAGAAUAGACUGGGGAGAAUAUUGGGAAGGAGCAAGUGGUGCAGAGACACAGUUCCAAGGUUCUUUAUUGCAUUUUCUUGAUUCUUCUGUAGACUGUCAAUCUGCACAUAGAGAUUUCUGGAUAUUUUUCUUUCAGUGCUUUUUAAAAGUGUUAUUCCACUGUCUCCUGACUUGCGUGGAUUCUGAUGGUACGUGUGAGUCAGCCUCUGUUUCACAGACAGGUUCAUCUGUGUCAUAGUUUAGAUUCCACAUUUAGGUGACACCACACACAUUUGUCUUUCCCUUUCUGACUCACUUCACUUAAUAUGAUCAUCUCUAGGUCCAUCCAUGUCGCUGCAAGUGGCAUUAUUCCAUUCUGGUUUUGAGCUGAAUAGUAUUCCAUUGCAUAUAUCAACGUGUACUGCAUAUUCUAUAUUCAUUCAUCUGUUGAUGGACACUUAGCCAUUUCGAUGUCUUGGCUAUUGCAAGUAGCACUGCUAUGAACACACUGGUAUGUGUAUCUUUUUGAAUUAUCUUGUACAGAGAUAUGCCCAGGAGUGGGGUUAGUGUCAUCCAGCAGUUUUACUUCUGGGUAUAUAUGCCCACAUAAAAUGAAAGCAGGGACUCAGAUAUUUGCUUUCCAAAGUUUGUAGCAGGAUGACUCACAAUAGCCACAAGGUAGAAACAACCCAAAUGUCCACUGACAAAUAAACAUGUAUAUAAUGUGACCUCUAACUACAAUACCGUAUUGUUUAGACUUAAAAAGGAGUGAAAUUCUGAUACAUGCUACAAUAUGGAUGCAUAAUGAUGACAUUAUUCUAAACAAAAAAAAAAAAGGCAGGUACAAAAGGACAAAUUUCAUAUCAGAUACCUAGAAUAGUUGAAUUCAAAGAGGCAGAAAGUAUAUUGGCAGUUUCCAGGGACUGGAGGAGGAAUAGAAUGGGUAGUUAUUACUUAAUGUUAUGGAG